UUAAGUUUAUUUAUUGCCAGUUAUUAUAUAUUUUUUUAAAGUGAGCAUUCGUUUUGCUCACUCUUGCAUAUAUAUAACCAUUGCAGGUAAUGUUGAGAGUGUUGAUGAGCUAACCACUAGUAAAGGAAAAUGGAAGAUGAACAAGUGUUGAAGACUUUUUAAUUUGUUUAAACUUAUGUUUUCAGACUUAGUUUUUAAUCAUGUGAUGUAACUAAUUAAUUUUCCGCAUUUGAUAAAUGUUUU
rnacentral:lncRNA from 1 species